CUGCUCCCUGUGGAUGACAGCGUACCCUCUGAUGAGAGUGGUGACGUGAUAUGAUUGUCGAAGUCACCGUUUGUGAAGCACGACUGUGGUCAUAGUUAACAUGUAGAACCAUUGUGGUUGGUAUGGUCGUAAUCAUAGAUCGUGUUAUGGUUUGAAAAGCUGCAAAUUGUUGUUAUCAAUGAAAUGAAUUGGUCAUUCCACAUGAGUAGUUAGAAA
rnacentral:lncRNA from 1 species